UUGAACGCUGGCGGCGUGCUUUACACAUGCAAGUCGAGCGAGGCCAGGUAGCAAUACCUGAGUCGAGCGGCGCACGGGUGAGUAACGCGUGGAUAACCUGCCUGAUGGUGGGGGAUAGCCCGGGGAAACUCGGGCUAAUACCGCAUAACACCGAGAGGUCAAAGGGGGCCGCAAGGCUCUCGCCUGCAGAGGGGUCCGCGUCCGAUUAGCUAGUUGGCAGGGUAAUGGCCUACCAAGGCGACGAUCGGUAGCCGGCCUGGGAGGGUGAUCGGCCACACUGGAACUGAGACACGGUCCAGACUCCUACGGGAGGCAGCAGUGGGGAAUUUUGCGCAAUGGGCGAAAGCCUGACGCAGCAACGCCGCGUGGAGGAUGAAGGUCUUCGGAUUGUAAACUCCUGUCAGUGGGGAAAAAGGGGAACGGGCUCAUACCCCGUUUCAUUGAUUGUACCCGCAGAGGAAGCCCCGGCUAACUCUGU
rnacentral:rRNA from 1 species